rnacentral:lncRNA from 1 species
AGUUCUGGGGAAUGCUGUGGGCAACGCAGUGUGCCACUCACUCUCUGUGCUGUGGUUUUCCUGAAGACUUGUCUGGUCUCUCUGUCUAGCUACUGGGAGUCUGAGCCCUGCUGAGGGCUCUCCUUUCUAGGGGAUCAACUGUGCUUCAAAAGGCGGGUUCUGUGAAGGCCAGCACUUGGCUUCCGAGUUGUGUGCCCCUUAUUUCCAUUCCUGGGUGAAGAUUAGUGUUUCUGACAUGGCAGAGGGUACUACUUUAGACUGAGGAAGCGAGAUGAAUAGCCAAUUGUUUUCUGCAUGGAGUUUAAAGAUGUAAAUAAAUCUUGCUGCUGAUUGAAAAAGAGAACAACUAUUGUGACCGUCCUCAAAAGGAGUCAGAUUACUGCCCAGUCUAAAGCAGCCACAUUCUGACAAGCCCUGUCUGCUGAGGCAGCUCUUCAGAUGUCUGGGGAAUGGAGACUGAUGGUCCCAGCAGGGGAGAGACUGUGUUGACUUCGGAUGUCUCCAGAAACAGAGAUGUCAUGGUUUGGAUUGGAUGGAUGUCAUGGUAGUCUUCUCCAUGGAGGAACACACCGACUGACAUCCAGUACUAUGGCGUCAGCCCUGCACUGCUCCACCCUUCUGUGCUCGACGCCUGUAACAUCCUCUGCACCCAGGGCCACACUGUUCUCUCUUCCACACUGGUAAUUCUGUUUGGACUUGGGGAAAAACAGUUGAA